CUUCAUGUCCCGUUCGUCUGCUCCGGUAUCCCUGAUUGAACCUGUGUGUACCAACCUUCGUCUGUUCUCCGACCAACCUUAAAACGGCAGAUUUUCCAGACCAUCCGGUGCAAUGCAUGAUAGGAGCACCCAGGAUUUACUGCCAACUAUCUGAACCCAUGGGUACUGGAGGUUGCCUAUUUACAAUUCAGGCAACAGUAUUGGCAGCGAAUGGAUUUUCCACAGCACGACGUCGCAGGAGUGCUGGAGCCUAUCACAGCUGUCAUCAAGCAGAAGGAACUGGAGAUUCCGGAGAAAACCCAUGCAGGCACAGGGAGAACAUGCAAACUCCACACAGGUGGCGCCCGGGAUUGAAGCCAUGUCUUCAAAAUUGUUACACUGCUUAUAGACAGCUUGUGAGAUGAGAUGGUGUUGGGGAAUUUUCGGCUGAAAUAACCACGUGCCACUUCCAUCCUGCUGUGUGACCAAGAUUCGUGAUACCUUUCCUAAUUAAGAGGCCCAAGAGUACACAGGAUUUAAAUGGUCUACAUCCUGACUUCUUUUCUUUGUGUGAAUGUUGAUGUAUACGUUUGUAUAUGAAGUAAACAUACACCACAGAACUAGAUUCAUAACAUUUUUAUUGAAUUGUAUGCUUAUAUUUUUUAUAAAUAUGUGAACAUUUGCACAAAAUUAUUAUUUGGUAUUUCAAUAAGAGUGCUUUGAGAACACCUGAGGUCUAGAUAUAUGUUGCAGUAUGCUCUCUGCUGUCAGAAAGCAAUGUGUUCCUUUCUCAUGAAUAGGCACUUCAUCAGACUGGCAAGUUUUGGAAUGGACCAAAGACGGAGAUUCAGCAUCUGCUGGUUUGAUGUCAACCUCUUGUGCAGAAAAUGCUUCCUGCAACAUCUGUAGUUAAUAUAGAAAAAUAAGGUCAAAAGUUUACAAAAGAAAAAGAUGUGUACGUUAAGCACAGGUUCAUUUCAAUCUAUUUCAUGGUGCACAAAUUAUUUUUGAUAAGAUGAAAACGGGUGACCUAUUCUGUGAGUGACUAGUAAGUA